rnacentral:rRNA from 1 species
CAGCCGUAAACUAUGCUCGCUAGGUGUCAGGCAUGGCGCGACCGCGUCUGGUGCCGCAGGGAAGCCGUGAAGCGAGCCACCUGGGAAGUACGGCCGCAAGGCUGAAACUUAAAGGAAUUGGCGGGGGAGCACAACAACGGGUGGAGCCUGCGGUUUAAUUGGACUCAACGCCGGACAACUCACCGGGGACGACAGCAAUAUGUAGGCCAGGCUGAAGACCUUGCCUGAAUCGCUGAGAGGAGGUGCAUGGCGUAGACGUCU